GGGAGCUCAGCUGUGCUUUAGACCUGUGUGCUUUCUUUUUAUAUCAUAGCAACACUAAAAUGAUCUUCUCUCUUAUUCUUCUACUUAUUUGUGUCGCAGCAUCACAAGAUCUGGGAGACAGAGGAGGACAAGAUGUGACAACAAAUCCGGGGCUGGUUGCAGUGCUGUGUAUUUUCUGCAUUGUGGUGGCUGUAGUUGUUGUGGUUGUGAUAGUGAAGGCUGUUCGCUCCAGGAGGCCACAGUUUGAUAGGCUUGAUGAUGUACCAAUGGGCAAGGUAAAUGAGGAUGCACCGUUUGCCCGCUACCCUCCAAAAUAAAUUCCAGUUUCUUAAACUUGCAGUCUCAGUAAACUACAUAGCUAUGCCUCUGAUAUUUAGCUUGUUUUUUUUGUUUUUUAAAUGAUAUGUGCCUUUUUAGCAUAUAGACUUGAUGUGCAAUACCUAGUGUAUUAGUUAGAAAAUAUGGUAAUGUUGUGCUUAAUCUUUUCCCACAAUAGCACAAACAGUGAAAAAUCUAUAGUCAAAUGAGGAAUGUAAAUGUACAUAAGGAUAAAUGAACUGGUGGCCACCUCUGUCAUGAUUUGCACGGUCAAUAUUUGUGAGAGACUAUGACGGCUGUGUAGCAUUUUCAACUUGUCCUCCAGAUGGCGGCAAAAUUAUUCACAAGCAGUUUUACUGUAUGUAUAAUGUGGUCAUAAAGACCUGCUCUUUUAAUUUGAUUUGAGAAUUUGUAUUUGUUUUUGCUCACAAUACCAAAUCCUUUCAGUGUAAUUAUUGGUCAGGGAACCUGAUCUAUAAAACAAUUCUACAAAUGUACUGUAAACAAACAUAAAUUAUACAAUAAAUCACUG
rnacentral:lncRNA from 1 species